GAAAGCCGUGUGAGGGAUAACCUCAUGCACGGUUUGAUGAGGGGCGAGUGAAAAUAUCACUCGCCUACUCUAC
rfam:Blautia sp. YL58, complete genome.